rnacentral:lncRNA from 1 species
UCACAUAAACCCUAGGUCAUGAAUUGUAGGUCCGUUUGCGAAUCGCCGGACAACUACGAGAACUUGUUUAUAAUACCGUAACGAGCGCGGAAUCCACGUUACGAUACAAACCGAGUGAGAGAGUGAACAAGACGUAAAGAUAUCAACGAUUAACAAUUACGUUUAUUGAUUUCGACAAAGUUUCGGUACAAUAUUCGACAAAUACAAGGCUCACCGGAACUUUCUCUCUCUACACUCUCUCUCUAGCUUAUCCGGACUCACUGUUUCUGUCUCAGCUUGCUGUAUAUAUAGUACUGACAUCGAAGAAUCAGAACAGGACUCAACGAAAACAAGACAGGAACGACGAAACAAGAUAGGUCGACGAAACACAAUAACAUUCGACGAAACACUUCUUGUUUUGUCGACCCAUAAGAUGUUUAGUGGGGUUCGGCCCAGUUGAUGUGUUUCGGCCCAAAGAGCAUUCUGAUUGGCCCAAACUCAUGCACGUAUAUGAAUUUCAAACAUGCAGAUUUCAAAGUUGUUACAUCAUCAUGACAUCAUCAUGAUGAUGUCAUGAUGAUGUGUCAAGCGGGAAACGUUCUCGGCUCUCCGUGCUUCGCGUGUCGAACUCUGGGACGCACGACGGAGGAAUGUCGUGACGUCGGGCUUGAGCCGGACCUAACCGUGUCGAAACUGAGCCGAGUUGAAUCGAACCG